rnacentral:rRNA from 1 species
CAUGCAGUCGAACGCGAAAGUCCCCUUCGGGGGAUAAGUAGAGUGGCGUCCGGGUGAGUAACACGUAGGUAAUCUACCUUUGGGUGGGGAAUAACAACGGAAACGGUUGCUAAUACCGCAUAAUGCAGCGGCACCACAUGGUGACAGUUGUUAAUGCGGGGGAUCGCAAGACUCGCGCCUAAAGAGGAGCCUGCGGCGGAUUAGCUAGUUGGUAGGGUAACGGCCUACCAAGGCGACGAUCCGUAGCCGGCCUGAGAGGGCGGUCGGCCACACUGACACUGAAAUACGGGUCAGACUCCUACGGGAGGCAGCAGUCGGGAAUUUUGGGCAAUGGGCGCAAGCCUGACCCAGAACGCCGGUGAAGGAUGAAAUCCCUCGGGAUGUAAACUUCGCAAGAACGGGAAGAAUAAGUGGAAGUUAAUACCUUCCAUGAUGACGGUACCGUUUGUAAGCUCCGGCUAACUCCGUGCCAGCAGCCGCGGUAAUACGGGGGGAGCAAGCGUUGUUCGGAUUUACUGGGCGUAAAGGGCGCGUAGGCGGCCAGUGCAAGUCAGUUGUGAAUCUCCGGGCUUAACUCGGAAAGGUCAACUGAUACUGUCGGUAGACGUGCGGAAGGGGCAACUGGAAUUCUUUGGUGUACGGUGAAACUGCGUUAGAUAUCCAGAGGAACACCUGGGCGAAGGCGGGUUGCUGGGGCCGACACUGACGCUGGAAGGCGCCGAAAGCUAGGGGAGCGAACGGGAUUAGAUACCCGGUAGUCCUAGACCUUAAACGAUGA